UACGUAGGGUGCGAGCGUUGUCCGGAAUUACUGGGCGUAAAGAGCUCGUAGGCGGUUUGUCGCGUUGUCCGUGAAAACUCACAGCUCAACUGUGGGCGUGCGGGCGAUACGGGCAGACUGGAGUACUGCAGGGGAGACUGGAAUUCCUGGUGUAGCGGUGGAAUGCGCAGAUAUCAGGAGGAACACCGGUGGCGAAGGCGGGUCUCUGGGCAGUAACUGACGCUGAGGAGCGAAAGCGUGGGGAGCGAACAGG
rnacentral:rRNA from 1 species